rnacentral:piRNA from 1 species
UGAGCAACCCCUGAAGUCACUGUGCU